rnacentral:rRNA from 1 species
GACGAACGCUGGCGGCGUGCCUAAUACAUGCAAGUAGAACGCUGAAGGAGGAGCUUGCUUCUCUGGAUGAGUUGCGAACGGGCGAGUAACGCGUAGGUAACCUGCCUGGUAGCGGGGGAUAACUAUUGGAAACGAUAGCUAAUACCGCAUAAUAGCAGUUGUUGCAUGAUAACUGUUUGAAAGGUGCAAUUGCACCACUACCAGAUGGACCUGCGUUGUAUUAGCUAGUUGGUGGGGUAACGGCUCACCAAGGCGACGAUACAUAGCCGACCUGAGAGGGUGAUAGGCCACACUGGGACGGAGACACGGCCCAGACUACAACGGGAGGCAGCAGUAGGGAAUCUUCGGCAAUGGACGGAAGUCUGACCGAGCAACGCCGCGUGAGUGAAGAAGGGUUUCGGAUCGUAAAGCUCUGUUGUAAGAGAAGAACGAGUGUGAGAGUGGAAAGUUCACACUGUGACGGUAGCUUACCAGAAAGGGACGGCUAACUACGUG